rnacentral:rRNA from 1 species
AAUAUUGGAUAAUGGGGGCAACCCUGACCCAGCCAUGCCGCGUGUGUGAAGAAGGUCUUCGGAUUGUAAAGCACUUUAAGUUGGGAGGAAGGGCUUUAGGUUAAUACCCUGAAGUAUUGACGUUACCAACAGAAUAAGCACCGGCUAACUCUGUGCUAGCAGCCGCGGUAAUACAGAGGGUGCAAGCGUUAAUCGGAAUUACUGGGCGUAAAGCGCGCGUAGGUGGUUCAGUAAGAUGGGUGUGAACUCCCCGGGCUUAACCUGGGAACUGCUUUCAUAACUGCUGAGCUAGAGUACGGUAGAGGGUAGUGGAAUUUCCUGUGUAGCGGUGAAAUGCGUAGAUAUAGGAAGGACCACCAGUGGCGAAGGCGACUACCUGGACUGAUACUGACACUAAGGUACGAAAGCGUGGGGAGCAAG